UGGGGAAUAUUGCACAAUGGGCGCAAGCCUGAUGCAGCCAUGCCGCGUGUAUGAAGAAGGCCUUCGGGUUGUAAAGUACUUUCAGCGGGGAGGAAGGCGAUAAGGUUAAUAACCUUGUCGAUUGACGUUACCCGCAGAAGAAGCACCGGCUAACUCCGUGCCAGCAGCCGCGGUAAUACGGAGGGUGCAAGCGUUAAUCGGAAUUACUGGGCGUAAAGCGCACGCAGGGGGUCUGUAAAGUCGGAUGUGAAAUCCCCGGGCUCAACCUGGGAACUGCAUUCGAAACUGGCAGGCUAGAGUCUUGUAGAGGGGGGUAGAAUUCCAGGUGUAGCGGUGAAAUGCGUAGAGAUCUGGAGGAAUACCGGUGGCGAAGGCGGCCCCCUGGACAAAGACUGACGCUCAGGUGCGAAAGCGUGGGGAGCAAACA
rnacentral:rRNA from 1 species